rnacentral:lncRNA from 1 species
CACCCUUAAAAAAUUGUUUGUUUGGCAUUGCCGACUCACACCAUCAGCAGGUGGGUAGGUAGGUAGGGAUUUUUUUUUUUUUUUUUUACAUUUAAAAACUUUAUAUAUCACAACCAUGAUGACUCUAGAUCACAGCCAAAAGCAGUGCAGCAUUGUUGUGUGUACAAACUUAUGGUUUCUUUGAUAGGGGUUAAUGUCACAUUCUACAACACAUGGAUAAUUUCAUGUCAAACAUUCAGUUUUUUUGGAGGAGUAAACCAAAGUACCCAGCAGAAACAUAUCUGUGGUAGGGAACUGACAUUAACCAUGUAACAUGUUAGACAUGAAAAUUGAAUCUUAAUUGUGGGACUGUCCAUUGAAUAGAGGCUUAAUGUCACAUCUUGAAAUUGCCUUCAGUUUGGUAAACUUAUCAUAUUUUAAUCAGUUCGACCACUACAGUUCCUUGUACAAAUAGAUGAUUUAAAGCUUUGAUUGUUUGCUUGUUUGAUGGGAUUUAAAAGUAACUUUCUACACCAUAUGGGCAAGUUCAUUACAGUCAGUUUUAUUGGUGGACGAAAGCGUAGUGCACAGAGGAACCUUAUUAUAAAUGUCAUGACAAUCUAACCUUAAUUUUGUGAAUGCAUACAUGUACUUAUCCCUAGAGGUGAUAAGACUAGCAUUGAUACAUGCAAAUUUUGCGGAACUACCAAAUGGUCAAAGCCACUACAGCCCCUGAUCAGCUUUGAGAAUAGCAAAAUAUUACAAAUUUAGAAGGUUGGCACAAGAACAGUCAUGAAUGCCUCACCCUGGCAGGGUGUUUAUACUGCAUUUGUAAUAACCGCAGUAAAAGUAUGAUAAUUUCAAAAUAUAAAUAUGCUGUAGGACAGACAAUUUUUACAGAUAAUUUAAAAUAAAUUUUAAGGUUGUUAUGAUUGUUUGAUUGACAGGGUUCUGGACAUGCAUGACAUAAAUACAGUUAAAUUCAUGAGCCCUUGGUUUGCUUAAAACAAUGGAACACUACCAGUAGAUAUAUUUAUAAAAUAUGUUGCCGUCAGAUAUCUUUUCUGUUUUAAGAAUUAUCUUAUUCAUGUUAAGAAGAAAGAGAGGGGUUGGGUUCAUAAAUUCUUGACACACAAAAGAGGCUAGUCUUUGAAAUAUGUAUGUUUUUGUACCAGGCUAACCUCUACUGGUACAAAACUACUAUAAACCUGUAAAUCUGGGACCAUAUUGGUCUUUUAGCUUUGGUGCUUUCAUGCAGGUACACCUUUCAGCCAUCAAGCCAAUGCAUCAUCAUCUUGAAUAGAUAUAAGAAGAUGUGGUAUGAGUGUCAACGAGAC